AAGUCGUAACAAGGUUUCCGUAGGUGAACCUGCGGAAGGAUCAUUCAUAAUAAGUGUUUUAUGGCACUUUUUUAAUUCCAUAUCCACCUUGUGUGCACCGAAACAAAAUAUGUUUUGAAAGUGCUUUUGGUCUUUGCAUAAAGAUUGUCUUUUUCAAGGCCAAAAGGCAACUUUCUCUCUCUUCCCUUUUUUUUAACGUGUCUAAGAAUAAAAAAGUCCGGAAAUUCAUAAAAAUGAAAAUAUAUAUAUAUAUAUAAACGACUUCCAGCAACGGAUCUCAAGGCUCUU
rnacentral:misc_RNA from 1 species